rnacentral:rRNA from 1 species
GAAACCUACGGGACGCAGCAGUCGGGAAUAUUGCGCAGUGGAGGAAACUCUGACGCAGUGACGCCGCGUGCAGGAAGAAGGUUUUCGGAUUGUAAACUGCUUUAGACAGGGAAGAAAAAAGACAGUACCUGUAGAAUAAGCUCCGGCUAACUACGUGCCAGCAGCCGCGGUAAUACGUAGGGAGCAAGCGUUAUCCGGAUUUAUUGGGUGUAAAGGGCGUGUAGGCGGGAAUGCAAGUCAGAUGU